rnacentral:rRNA from 1 species
UACAGAGGGUGCAAACGUUGUUCGGAAUUACUGGGCGUAAAGCGCGUGUAGGCGGUCAUCCAAGUCGGAUGUGAAAGCCCCGAGCUCAACUUGGGAAGUGCAUUCGAUACUGGGUGACUUGAGUCCCGGAGAGGGUGGUGGAACUCUCGGUGUAGAGGUGAAAUUCGUGAGAUAUCGAGAAGAACACCGGUGGCGGAAGGCGGCCACCUGGACGGGUACUGA